rnacentral:rRNA from 1 species
CAGCCGCCGCGGUAAUACGUAGGUGGCAAGCGUUGUCCGGAAUUAUUGGGCGUAAAGGGCUCGCAGGCGGUUUCUCAAGCCUGAUGUGAAAGCCCCCGGCUCAACCGGGGAGGGUCAUUGGAAACUGGGAAACUUGAGUGCAGAAGAGGAGAGUGGAAUUCCACGUGUAGCGGUGAAAUGCGUAGAGAUGUGGAGGAACACCAGUGGCGAAGGCGACUCUCUGGUCUGUAACUGACGCUGAGGAGCGAAAGCGUGGGGAGCGAACAGGAUUAGAUACCCCGGUAGUCCCUGUCUCUUAUAC